rnacentral:rRNA from 1 species
AUUGAACGCUGGCGGCAUGCCUUACACAUGCAAGUCGAACGGCAGCACGGGAGCUUGCUCCUGGUGGCGAGUGGCGAACGGGUGAGUAAUACAUCGGAACGUACCCUGAAGUGGGGGAUAACGUAGCGAAAGUUACGCUAAUACCGCAUAUUCUGUGAGCAGGAAAGAGGGGGAUCGCAAGACCUCUUGCUUUAGGAGCGGCCGAUGUCGGAUUAGCUAGUUGGUGAGGUAAAGGCUCACCAAGGCGACGAUCCGUAGCGGGUCUGAGAGGAUGAUCCGCCACACUGGGACUGAGACACGGCCCAGACUCCUACGGGAGGCAGCAGUGGGGAAUUUUGGGACAAUGGGCGCAAGCCUGAUCCAGCCAUGCCGCGUGAGUGAAGAAGGCCUCGG